GACGAACGCUGGCGGCGUGCCUAAUACAUGCAAGUCGAGCGGAUUGAUGGGAGCUUGCUCCCUGAUAUCAGCGGCGGACGGGUGAGUAACACGUGGGCAACCUGCCUAUAAGACUGGGAUAACUUCGGGAAACCGGAGCUAAUACCGGAUAAUCCCUUUCCUCUCAUGAGGAAAGGCUGAAAGAUGGUUUACGCUAUCACCUAUAGAUGGGCCCGCGGCGCAUUAGCUAGUUGGUGAGGUAACGGCUCACCAAGGCAACGAGGCGUAGCCGACGUGAGAGGGGGAUAGGACACACUGGGACGGAGACACGGCACAGACUCCUACGGGAGGCAGCAGUGGGGAAUCUUCCGCAAUGGACGAAAGUCUGACGGAGCAACGCCGCGUGAGUGAUGAAGGUUUUCGGAUCGUAAAACUCUGUUGUUAGGGAAGAACAAGUACGAGAGUAACUGCUCGUACCUUGACGGUACCUAACCAGAAAGCCACGGCUAACUACGUGCCAGCCGCCGCAGUAA
rnacentral:rRNA from 1 species